UGUACAGCAUUUAGUAACAGGACCUUCCUUCUCUUGUUACCAGCAGGUUCAUCUGAUUGUGUGAUUGUGAACAUUUACUCCCGCAUUGACUGUUUUUCUAGAUGAAAAAGAGAGAUCACAUGCAUGAUAUCCAACAACAACUGCCGCAGAACAAACUAGACUUUGUUUCUUUUGGUUGAUCUGAUUGCGUGGUUGUGAACAUUUACCCCCACAUUGACUGUGUUUCUUGGUGCGCAUGAGAGAUCACCUGCACCAUAUCUAACUAAGAGAGCCACAGAGCAAACUGCACCUCGCUUCUUCUGUAGGUUCUUCUAAUUGCAAGGUUGUGAACAUUGUUCUCCCGUCAACUGUGUUUCUUGCUGGAUAUGAGACAUGGCCUGCACCAUAGUUAACUACGCAAGGUUCAACAGAUUGCGCAGUUGAGAACCUUAGCUCUCCCAUCAACUGUAUUUUUGCUGGAAAUGAGACAUCACCUUCAUCAUAGUUAACUGUGGGAGAUGGAGAACUUAAGAGAUCUUCUAUCUUUUGGUUUAUCAGAUCGUGUGGUUGCGAACAUUUACUCUCCCAUUGACUGCAUUUCUUGCUGCGAAUGAGACAUCACCUUCACCAUUAUUGACUACGAGAGGUGCAUAACUUGAUAUAUCUCCUUUCUUUUGGUAUACAUCUCCCCCUUUUUUAUAAUUUUUAAUGAUUUGAUUCUGCAGAUGCAUGUGUGAAUAACCUAUCUGAUACCCCAAAUGUAUCAAAAGGUUUUACCUCCUAUUGUCCCCUGCCAUGUUCAUUAGAUUAUGUGGUUGGUUAUAAUAGAAGGAAACAUUCCACGUAGGAAAGAUAUACCUAAAA